CACCCAUGUCUUUUGCGCACUUGUUGUUUCCUGGGCGGGUUCGCCCGCCACCAGGACCAAACCAUAAACCUUUUUCUUAUGCAGUUUCCAUCAGCGUCAGUAAAAACAAUGUAAUAAUUACAACUUUCAACAACGGAUCUCUUGGUUCUGGCAUCGAUGAAGAACGCAGCGAAAUGCGAUACGUAGUGUGAAUUGCAGAAUUCAGUGAAUCAUCGAAUCUUUGAACGCACAUUGCGCCCUUUGGUAUUCCAAAGGGCAUGCCUGUUCGAGCGUCAUUUGUACCUUCAAGCUUUGCUUGGUGUUGGGCGUUUUUGUCUCCCUCUUUCUGGGAGACUCGCCUUAAAACGAUUGGCAGCCGGCCUACUGGUUUCGGAGCGCAGCACAUUUUUUGCGCUUUGUAUCAGGAGAAAAGGACGGUACUCCAUCAAGACUUUUACAAUUUUAACUUUUGACCUCGGAUCAGGUAGGGAUACCCGCUGAACUUAAGCAUAUCAAAGCGGGAAGAAAA
rnacentral:rRNA from 1 species